rnacentral:rRNA from 1 species
AUGCUGUGAUGCCCUUAGAUAUUCUGGGCCGCACGCGCGCUACACUGACAGAGCCAACGAGUUCAUCACCUUGG